GGUGAAUGGAUCCAUUUUGGAGACCACCACUCUAGACAGUUCCUACUGCUCCUGUUAUCUGUACUGCUCUUUUCUCCUUUAUUUCACAAAGAACUUCUUAAGAUCCUAAGAAAUGCAGCCUCAAUUAGAGCUCCGCAAUGCACUCUAGAAGGGAACUCAUCUGGAUUCCCUUCACCGGGUAGAAAGUGCAGCCCUCAGCCAGAAACACUACCUCUGACUGCCAAGGAUCCCACACAGCAUCCAGACUAUUCAGUCCACCGACUCUCUACUAUUUAUCUUAAAUCGCACCAACAAGACGCUGGAAGUCAGUGAGAUGGCUGCCAACAUCAUAAGGUAGUAAUACGAGCUACAAUUUGCCGAAUGAAUGCUAUUUGCACCUACUAUGCUGAAGUGAUUCUCAUCUAUCAGCUCCUUCAGUUCUUCUGACCACCUUGUAAGUAGGCAUAUUUAACCCCAUUCCCCACAAGGUAAGUGGAUCCCCACUAUUCCUGACCAUUAUUCUGUGACAGCUCAAGUACUUCAUCAUUUCCAUUCUGUUCACCCUGUUUCUAAUCACUCCUUCCUGGAUUUGACCAUGGCAGAGGCUUGGAAAGAGUUUUCUACUCCAGAUUUUAGCUACCUGGAAUCUUUAUCAUUUUCAUUUAUGAUUCAAACCCUGCCUCUUGUGAUCAUUGACCACCAUGCUGG
rnacentral:lncRNA from 1 species